rnacentral:rRNA from 1 species
GUGUCAGCAGCCGCGGUAAUACGUAGGGUGCGAGCGUUAAUCGGAAUUACUGGGCGUAAAGUGUGCGCAGGCGGCGCUGCAAGUCGAGUGUGAAAUCCCCGAGCUUAACUUGGGAAUUGCGCUCGAAACUACGGCGCUGGAGUAUGGCAGAGGAAGGUGGAAUUCCACGUGUAGCGGUGAAAUGCGUAGAGAUGUGGAGGAACACCGAUGGCGAAGGCAGCCUUCUGGGCCAAUACUGACGCUCAUGCACGAAAGCGUGGGGAGCAAACAGGAUUAGAUACCCGCGUAGUCC